AGCUAGGGGAGGAAGGAGUGGGCGGCGGCCUCUUCGGCGCAACUUCACAUGCCCGGAUACAGAAGGUAUGAUUGUUCUGAUAUCGUUAGCUACAUGGGUGGUGUGAACUGUGGCAAAACGACAAUGACAAGAAUCUGAAUGCACUUAAGAAGCAUAAUCUUGUAAGGUCCAGGCCACUGGUGAGGACUUUUCUGUUGAGCCAUCCGAUGAGAGGAGGCCGUUCAACUACACAUUUUUACAGUAUGUAAGACGGCAGGUGCAUGUGUUUGAUCUAAGAUUUGGCGAAGAGAAACCGGAUUACUUCAAUGUUUCUAUGUUGUGUGAUAUCAAGAGUAAAAUAACAAGUCAGAAGGAUCAGGGAUAUGAUGACAGAGAUAUUUAGCAGCUUAGCAUGGCUAUGGAAAUAAGUAGCAGAACUGCAAUCAUAUGACAAUUUUGGUUGGAAUUUCCAUGUCGCCAGCUUCUAGGACUCAAGUUAUUUUUUCGAACUUUCAGUUAGCAGUUCAUGGUUUUCUUGAAGAUCUGCAAAUGAGGGCAAGUUUUGUUGUUUACAGUACCUUCUUUCCGAUGCGCUGAUGGAUAUUUGCUGGCGGCGAAUAGUGCGCGGUCGUCGCCAGGUGCUGGGUCAAUGGCUCUUGACAGCGGCGACGUGUAGAUGGCGACAAGUACACCGGAGU